GCCACAAGAUUAGAUUUCUCAGGGUCGUUGUAGACUACGACGUUGAUAGGAUGCAGGUGUAAAGAUGGAGACAUCAAAGCCGAGCAUUACUAAUUGCCCGUUCACUUUCCUU
rnacentral:rRNA from 1 species